rnacentral:rRNA from 1 species
AGCUCCAAUAGCGUAUAUUAAAGUUGUUGCGGUUAAAAAGCUCGUAGUUGGAUUUCUGUGAAGGACGAACGGUCUUCCCUAAGGGAAAGUAUCUGUCAGGCCUUUGCAUCCUCAUUAGGAACGUCGCUGCGCUUUAUUGCGUGGUACGGAACUGAUGACUUUUACUUUGAGGAAAUUAGAGUGUUCACAGCAAGCAAACGCUUUGAAUAUGUUAGCAUGGAAUAAUAAUAUAGGACCUUGGUACUAUUUUGUUGGUUUCUAGAACUAAGGUAAUGAUUAAUAGGAACAGUUUGGGGGCAUUCGUAUUAACGCGUCAGAGGUGGAAUUCUUGGAUUGCGUUACGACGAACUACUGCGAAAGCAUUUGCCAAGGAUGUUUUCA